GACAGAGGUGCCGAGCGUUAGGCGGAAUCACUGGGCUUAAAGCGUGUGUAGGCGGAUCGUUAAGUACCUUGUGAAAUCCCACGGCUCAACCGUGGAACUGCUUGGUAUACUGGCGGUCUUGAGCCAGCUAGGGGCUACCGGAACAAAUGGUGGAGCGGUGAAAUGCGUAGAUAUCAUUUGGAACGCCAAUGGUGAAAACAGGUAGCUGGGGCAGUGCUGACGCUGAGACACGAAAGCCAGGGGAGCGAACGGG
rnacentral:rRNA from 1 species